CUGGGGGAAGGCGGGAGCAGGGUGUGGCCAGAGGCCUCCGUGGCACUGGAUGCAUGGUUGGUGACUUUCCAGAUGCUGAGGUACCUGCAUUCUAGGCACAGGCCAGUACUGAGCUGUAGUUGGGCUAGGCUGUGCCUUCUGAAGCGGUGUCUGUUUACAAUGAAGUUGCAGUCUCCAGAAUUCCAAUCGCUUUUCACAGAAGGAUUGAAGAGUCUGACACCAAGUUGGUACAGAGAUGAAUAAGAAUUAUUUGUCAAAGAGAACCAUGAAUUAAGAAUAGCAGGAGGUGCAGUGAGGGAUUUAUUAAACGGAGUGAAACCUCAGGAUGUGGAUUUUGCCACCACUGCUACCCCGACUCAGAUGAAGGAGAUGUUUCAGUCGGCUGGGAUUCGGAUGAUAAACAACAAAGGAGAAAAGCACGGAACAAUUACUGCCAGGCUUCAUGAAGAAAAUUUUGAAAUUACAACACUACGGAUUGAUGUCCUCACUGAUGCAAGAUAUGCUGAGGUCGAAUUCACAACUGACUGGCAGAAAGAUGCUGAACGCAGAGAUCUCACUAUAAAUUCAAUGUUUUUAGGUUUUGAUGGCACAUUAUUUGACUAUUUUAAUGGUUAUGCAGGUUUAAAAAAUAAAGUGAGAUUUGUUGGACAUGCUAAACAGAGAAUACAAGAAGAUUAUCUAAGAAUUUUAAGAUAUUUUAGGUUUUAUGGGAAAAUUGUAGACAAACCUGGUGACCAUGAUCCUGAUACUUUGGAAGCAAUUGCAGAAAAUGCAAAAGGCCUGGCUGGAGUAUCAGGAGAGAGGAUUGGGGUUGAACUGAAAAAAAUUCUUGUUGGUAACCAUGUAAAUCAUUUGAUUCACCUUAUUUAUGAUCUUGAUGUAGCUCCUUAUAUAGGUUUACCUGCUAAUGCAAGUUUAGAAGAACUAAACAAAGUCUGUACAAAUGUUGAAGGAUUUUCACCAAAGCCAAUGACUCUUUUGGCCUCAUUAUUCAAAGUACAGGAUGAUGUAACAAAAUUGGAUUUGAGGUUGAAGAUUUCAAAAGAAGAGAAGAACCUUGGUUUAUUUAUAGUUAAAAAUAGGAAAGAUUUAGUUAAAGCAACAGAUAGUUCUGAACCAUUGAAACCCUGUCAAGACUUCAUUAUUGAUUCUAGGGAACUUGAUGCGACUACUCGUGUGUGUGAACUACUGAAGUACCAAGGAGAGCACUGUCUCCUAAAGGAAAUGCAGCAGUGGUCCAUUCCUCCAUUUCCUGUCAGUGGCCAUGACAUCAGAAAAGUGGGCAUUUCUUCAGGAAAAGAAAUUGGAGCUCUAUUACAACAGUUGCGAGAACAGUGGAAAAAAAGUGGUUAUCGAAUGGAAAAAGACGAACUUCUAAGUUACAUAAAGAAGACCUAAAAUUCAUGGCUAAUAAAAUCCAGAAAAUUUGGG